GACGAACGCUGGCGGUGUGCCUCACACAUGCAAGUCGAACGGGGUAGCAAUACCCAGUGGCGGACGGGUGAGUAACACGUGGGAAUCUGCCCUAAGGUGGGGGAUAGCAGGCCGAAAGGCCUAUUAAUACCGCAUAUGUAUAUGUCCCGACAGGGAUGUAUAUGAAAGGAGCAAUCCGCCUUUGGAUGAGCCCGCGUCCGAUUAGCUAGUUGGUAGGGUAAAGGCCUACCAAGGCGACGAUCGGUAGGUGGUCUGAGAGGAUGAUCACCCACAAUGG
rnacentral:rRNA from 1 species